rnacentral:rRNA from 1 species
UGUGGUUUAAUUCGAAGCAACGCGAAGAACCUUACCAGGUCUUGACAUCCCUGACAACCCGAGAGAUCGGGCGUUCCCCUUCGGGGGACAGGGUGACAGGUGGUGCAUGGUUGUCGUCAGCUCGUGUCGUGAGAUGUUGGGUUAAGUCCCGCAACGAGCGCAACCCUCGACCUUAGUUGCCAGCAUUCAGUUGGGCACUCUAAGGUGACUGCCGGCUAAAGUCGGAGGAAGGUGGGGAUGACGUCAAAUCAUCAUGCCCCUUAUGACCUGGGCUACACACGUGCUACAAUGGGCGGUACAAAGGGUCGCGAACCCGCGAGGGGGAGCGAAUCCCAAAAAGCCGCUCUCAGUUCGGAUUGCAGGCUGCAACUCGCCUGCAUGAAGCCGGAAUCGCUAGUAAUCGCGGAUUCAGCAUGCCGCGGUGAAUACGUUCCCGGGCCUU